rnacentral:tRNA from 1 species
GGCUGGUUAGCUCAGUUGGUUAGAACAUGGUGCUGAUAACACUAAGGUCGCAGGUUCGAUCCUUGCUCGUUCCC